rnacentral:rRNA from 1 species
AUUGAACGCUGGCGGCAUGCCUUACACAUGCGAGUCGAACGGUAACGGGCCUUCGGGUGCCGACGAGUGGCGAACGGGUGAGUAAUACAUCGGAACGUGCCCGAUCGUGGGGGAUAACGAGGCGAAAGCUUUGCUAAUACCGCAUACGAUCUACGGAUGAAAGCAGGGGACCGCAAGGCCUUGCGCGGACGGAGCGGCCGAUGGCAGAUUAGGUAGUUGGUGGGAUAAAAGCUUACCAAGCCGACGAUCUGUAGCUGGUCUGAGAGGAUGAUCAGCCACACUGGGACUGAGACACGGCCCAGACUCCUACGGGAGGCAGCAGUGGGGAAUUUUGGACAAUGGGCGCAAGCCUGAUCCGGCCAUGCCGCGUGCAGGAUGAAGGCCUUCGGGUUGUAAACUGCUUUUGUACGGAACGAAAAGCCUUCUUUUAAUACAGGAGGGUCAUGACGGUACCGUAAGAAUAAGCACCGGCUAACUACGUG